rnacentral:lncRNA from 1 species
UGCUUUAAUUGUGAUAUAGUAGUUUUCAAUGAUUCACCCAAAGAAACAUAUUUCAAAUUAUGUGGGUGUGAAAAUUGUAAUAUCCCAAAAAUAUAAGUAUAUUUAUAUCAUGUGGAAUGCAACAUAUUAUAAUAAUAGAAAGCAGUUAAGAGUAGUAACAGAUGAAGUAAAUAGUUACAAUCAUCCAAAAUAUGGUGUAAGCUCUACUUAUAGCAUAGAGUCUUUCAAAAUGAAAUAAAAGAAAAGGAACUAAGCUGUAUACAUAAAACUAACAGCCUAAACUACUCAGCUGCAGUGUCAGGGACUUCAACAGCUACGUCUAAGACCUGCUCCAGAGGGCCUCUGAAAUCUCUGCUCACAUCCAAAUAGGAUGAUCAUUGCAAAAGAAAACAACACAAACAAAAACAAACAACACACAUGCAAGGGUAAGCUAGAAUUCAAUUGAAAACAAGUCAAUGACAGUUAAACAUAGCAAAAUAGACAUACAAGCAAUUACAAUCACAGAGGAACAGUUUUAGUAAAUUAUAAGUUGUGGUUUUAUUAGGUGGUGUUAGUUUUAGACUCGUCCGGACCCGG